rnacentral:misc_RNA from 1 species
AACAAAACAGAGCUGACAGAUGCUGCAAUUUCAUGGCUAAUCUAGAACAAAACCCAGCAGCAAAAGCCAAAACACACAGUCCAAAGAAAGCAAAGUGUCCCAGCACCCAUUGCACAAAGACUCCACACACAACACAUGAUGACCAUGAUUACAACUAAGCAGAAAACAAACCAGCACAUGCUUACGCAAUCAAAUACAAACAGACAAAAUAAACAUAACAUAAAACCCAAAACAAUAAUAAAAGAAACAGAGCCCAAAGUGCCCACUCCCCAGAAUCCCAGUAAAGAAGAACUGAUGAACAGUAUGCUUAACUCAUAAAGACCAAUCAGUAAUGCCAAAAAAAUUUGAGGCUCGCUACAAAGUCGUCGGAUCCGUUCAGGCCCUGUUUAGCUAGGAAAUCCGCUAAUGAAUUGCUUCCCUUAGUGCAUGUGAAAAGGAAACCUUGGGCAAGGAUUUAAGCAAGUCCAAGACUGUGUUGAUGAGAGUUGAAAAAGUCGCCAAGGUGCAGAAUCUGGAUGGAAAGCCCAACAGAUUGCGUUCUUCGAAUCACACUCAAUAAUGAUUGGAAGUGAAGCACAGCCCAACAGGCGAAGACACUGACAAGUUUAGAGCUUCGUAGAUAUCUAGAAGUACAGCUUCAUUGGAUUCCAUUACUCCCACAGGGCAACCAAAAAGUGCAGCAAAAACGACCUGUACUUGCCUAUCUUCAUCCAAAGAUACGAACUCCAAGCAAAUUACUUCUAAUCAAAUGUAGUUCUUUAACAACAUCCCCCAUUCUCAUUCUAUUUUUGGGUGAUUCUACUGAGCAGGCUACUCCAACUUUGAAUAGUGAAAUCAAACAAUCUUUAUCUUUGGCAAUACCUGUUCGGCUCAAGUUCCCAUUGCUCGACUCUGUUUCAGCGUGUAUUUCUACCUGCUCAUUCAUUUCAGCAUUUGUUGUUGAUGUUUCUUCCAUUACGCUUGACAGAAUGGUUGGGUCUGUGAUCUCCACAAGUUUUCUUGGUAAUGCAUCCUUUACAAAGUUGUGUAGAGUUAAAUGGUUUUCAAAUAUUUUAUCUGUUGGCCU